rnacentral:rRNA from 1 species
UACGUAGGUGGCGAGCGUUAUCCGGAAUUAUUGGGCGUAAAGGGUGCGUAGGCGGCACAUUAAGUCUAAGGUUAAAGUUCGAGGCUCAACUUCGGAUUGCCUUAGAAACUGGUGAGCUAGAGUGCAGGAGAGGGCAAUGGAAUUCCAUGUGUAGCGGUAAAAUGCGUAGAUAUAUGGAGGAACACCAGUGGCGAAGGCGGUUGCCUGGCCUGUAACUGACGCUGAGGCACGAAAGCGUGGGGAGCAAAUAGGAUUAGAUACCCCCGUAGUCC